rnacentral:rRNA from 1 species
UUAAAUUGAAGAGUUUGAUCAUGGCUCAGAUUGAACGCUGGCGGCAGGCCUAACACAUGCAAGUCGAACGGUAACAGGAAACAGCUUGCUGCUUUGCUGAC